CCCUUAGAUGUUCUGGGCUGCACGCGCGCUACACUGAUGCGUUCAACGAGUUUAUGACCUUGCCCGAUAGGGUUGGGUAAUCUUUUUAAAUCGCAUCGUGAUGGGGAUAGAUUAUUGCAAUUAUUAAUCUUCAACGAGGAAUUCCUAGUAAGCGCGAGUCAUCAGCUUGCGUUGAUUACGUCCCUGCCCUUUGUACACACCGCCCGUCGCUCCUACCGAUUGAAUGGUCCGGUGAAGCGUUCGGACCGUGGCCUUUGGACGGUUCGCCGUCUGUUGGCUGCGGGAAGUUCGUUAAACCUUAUCAUUUAGAGGAAGGAGAAGUCGUAACA
rnacentral:rRNA from 1 species